CACGUCAUCCCGCGGCCUGGAAGCCGAUGAACUUCGCCGCCACUACCUCCACGCCUGCUUCUGGUGCGCGCGCACUCUUGCCGGAAACAGAGACAUCUUCAUGUACAGAGGCGAUACCCCAUUCUGCAGCGACGAGUGCCGGCAGCAUCAGAUCGACACCGACGAGGCAGCGGAGAAGGGGUCCAAGAAGUCCGCGGCCACUACAAGGGAGCAGCAGAAGCAGCAGCAGAAGAACACGCACAGAGUGCCCAUCUGGGCUCGUUAGAAGCAUCAACCGAUCCAAUGGCUUACAUGCCAAAUGCUCAACUAGCAUUUAAUCUACUCCACAGCUACUUUGGUGCUAAAUUGUGUGAUCCGACGAAUCGGCUGCCAUGCAUGAUGAACAGCUUGAUGGAGCUGGUUAACCACUAUUGGAAUCCAGCUCUAGCUUGGAGGCAGAGAAUUGCUCUAUAUUAAUCUACAAGGAGAUACUAGAGGUUUGCUGUUUGCAGCACCAAGUUGACAAAAUCCAACAAAUCAUUCCCUCCUCUGUCUCACCUCCAUGUCCAGCCCGAAUUCAAUUUUUGUUGGCCUAAGAAAAGGCUGAAACCCAUGGUCGGUUUAUAUGCACAGAGUGUCGGUAAUCGAUCACUUAAUGGUAUUAUUCGAUCAUAUAUGCUAUGCCAUGUUGUUUA